GAUGAACGCUGGCGGCGUGCCUAAUACAUGCAAGUAGAACGCAGUUGCGAACGGGUGAGUAACGCGUAGGUACCUGCCUCAUAGCGGGGGAUAAUUAUUGGAAACGAUAGCUAAUACCGCAUACUGUGAGAUGGACCUGCGUUGUCUUAGCUAGUUGGUGAGGUAAAGGCUCACCAAGGCGACGAUACAUAGCCGACCUGAUAGGGUGGUCGGCCAAAAUUGGAUUGUGGAACGGCCCAGACUCCUUCGGGAGGCAGAGUGAGGGAAUCUUCGGCAAUGGAGGGAAAGCUGACCGAGCAACGGCGCGUGGGUGAAGAAGGUUUUCGGAUCGGAAAGCUCUGUUGAUAGAGGAGCGUUAACUAACCAAAAAGGGACGGUUAACUACGUGCCAGCAGCCGCGGUAAUUG
rnacentral:rRNA from 1 species